rnacentral:rRNA from 1 species
AGGGAAUCUUCGGCAAUGGACGGAGGUCUGACCGAGCAACGCCGCGUGAGUGAAGAAGGUUUUCGGAUCGUAAAGCUCUGUUGUAAGAGAAGAACGGGUGUGAGAGUGGAAAGUUCACACUGUGACGGUAUCUUACCAGAAAGGGACGGCUAACUACGUGCCAGCAGCCGCGGUAAUACGUAGGUCCCGAGCGUUGUCCGGAUUUAUUGGGCGUAAAGCGAGCGCAGGCGGUUAGAUAAGUCUGAAGUUAAAGGCUGUGGCUUAACCAUAGUACGCUUUGGAAACUGUUUAACUUGAGUGCAAGAGGGGAGAGUGGAAUUCCAUGUGUAGCGGUGAAAUGCGUAGAUAUAUGGAGGAACACCGGUGGCGAAAGCGGCUCUCUGGCUUGUAACUGACGCUGAGGCUCGAAAGCGUGGGGAGCAAACAGGAUUAGAUACCCUGGUAGUCCACGCCGUAAACGAUGAGUGCUAGGUGUUAGACCCUUUCCGGGGUUUAGUGCCGUAGCUAACGCAUUAAGCACUCCGCCUGGGGAGUACGACCGCAAGGUUG